AUGAACGCUAGCGACAGGCCUAACACAUGCAAGUCGAGGGGCAGCGACAAGGAGCAAUCUGAGGUGGCGACCGGCGCACGGGUGAGUAACACGUAUGCAACCUGCCUGUAAGCGGGGAAUAACCCGUUGAAAGACGGACUAAUACCGCAUAAUACUAAAUUACUGCAUGGUAAUUUAUUUAAACAUUUAUGGCUUACAGAUGGGCAUGCGCAUGAUUAGCUAGUUGGAGAGGUAACGGCUCCCCAAGGCAACGAUCAUUAGGGGUUCUGAGAGGAAGGUCCCCACACUGGUACUGAGACACGGACCAGACUCCUACGGGAGGCAGCAGUGAGGAAUAUUGGUCAAUGGACGAGAGUCUGAACCAGCCAAGUCGCGUGCAGGAAGAAUGUCCUAUGGAUUGUAAACUGCUUUUGCAGGGGAAUAAAGUGCAUCACGUGUGAUGUUUUGUAUGUACUCUGCGAAUAAGGAUCGGCUAACUCCGUGCCAGCAGCUGC
rnacentral:rRNA from 1 species